rnacentral:pre_miRNA from 1 species
CAACUACACCCUCUGUCCCAAAUUUCUUGUCUUAGAUUUGUCUAGAUACAGAUGUAUCUAAUACUAAAAUGUGACUUGAUACAUCCGUAUCUAGACAAAUCUAAGACAAGAAUUUUGGGACGGAGGGAGUACUUU